rnacentral:tRNA from 1 species
AGGAGUGUAGCUCAACUGGUAGAGCACCGGUCUCCAAAACCGGGGGCUGGGGGUUCGAGCCCCUCCACUCCUG